rnacentral:rRNA from 1 species
GACGAACGCUGGCGGCGUGCCUAAUACAUGCAAGUCGAGCGGAAGUUGGAGAGCUUGCUCUUCAACUUUAGCGGCGGACGGGUGAGUUACACGUGGGCAACCUGCCCUGCAGAUCGAGAUAACUCCGGGAAACCGGUGCUAAUACCGAAUAGUUUUCGCCACCUCCUGGUGGCGUACGGAAAGACGGUUUCGGCUGUCACUGCAGGAUGGGCCCGCGGCGCAUUAGCUAGUUGGUGGGGUAACGGCCCACCAAGGCGACGAUGCGUAGCCGACCUGAGAGGGUGAUCGGCCACACUGGGACUGAGACACGGCCCAGACUCCUACGGGAGGCAGCAGUAGGGAAUCUUCCGCAAUGGACGAAAGUCUGACGGAGCAACGCCGCGUGAGUGACGAAGGUUUUCGGAUCGUAAAACUCUGUUGUGAGGGAAGAACAAGUACCAACUAACUACUGGUACCUUGACGGUACCUCACCAGAAAGCCACGGCUAACUACGUGCCAGCCGCCGCGGUAAUAC